AAGCGGUGGAGCAUGUGGUUAAUUCGAACGCAACGCGAAGAACCUUACCUAGGUUGACAUCCCGGGGAGUCUCUUGAAAGAGAGAUGUGCCUUUCGGGGAGCCCGGAGACAGGUGCUGCAUGGCUGUCGUCAGCUCGUGUCGUGAGAUGUUGGGUUAAGUCCCGCAACGAGCGCAACCCUUGUCUUUAGUUGCCAUCAUUCAGUUGGGCACUCUAAAGAGACUGCCGGUGUCAAACCGGAGGAAGGUGGGGAUGACGUCAAGUCCUCAUGGCCUUUAUGACCAGGGCUACACACGUACUACAAUGGCCGGUACAAAGGGCAGCCACUUAGCGAUAAGGAGCCAAUCCCGUAAAGCCGGUCUCAGUCCGGAUUGGAGUCUGCAACUCGACUCCAUGAAGUUGGAAUCGCUAGUAAUCGCAGAUCAGCACGCUGCGGUGAAUACGUUCCCGGGCCUU
rnacentral:rRNA from 1 species